rnacentral:rRNA from 1 species
UACGUAGGGGGCAAGCGUUGUCCGGAAUCAUUGGGCGUAAAGCGCACGUAGGCGGUCCAGUAAGUCGGGUGUGAAAGCCCUCGGCUCAACCGAGGAAGUGCAUUCGAAACUACUGAACUUGAGUAUGGAAGAGGGUCGCGGAAUUCCCGGUGUAGAGGUGAAAUUCGUAGAUAUCGGGAGGAACACCAGUGGCGAAGGCGGCGACCUGGGCCAAUACUGACGCUGAGGUGCGAAAGCGUGGGGAGCAAGCAGG